AUUGUGUCGAGGGAAUGAGCUCAGAAUUCACCGAACACCAUUCACCCUGGGAAGGAAUAGGACGGGGCAGUAGGGCUCGCGAGCCAGGCUUUGGGGAAGGCGAGAAGGUGGGUCAGGGAGGACUUUGUGGAGAAGGCUUUGUCAGCGCGAGAUCCGGUGAAGGGUGGCAGAUGGGGGCGUUUGCGCACUGGCAUAAGGAAGGUAUAUACAAGCAAAGUCUUAGAAGGAGGAUUUCUGGAUCAAAGUGUAAAUGCACAUGCAGCUUUGUUAGAUAUUGCCACAUUGUGUUCAACAAGGGUUUUACCAUCAUAUGUUCCCAUCAACAGUUAUGAGUGUCUGUUUUCCCAAAGCCUAGCCAAAAGGAUGUGUUUUCAAGGCACUCAUUUUCUACUAAUCUGGAUGAUUCAGGAGUCUCAAAACUGUCUGAUCCAGUCCAGGCCGGCUUACAUCCUUUCAGUUCGAGAAGCACCAAACACAUUAAAAGUUUGGGUUGCAGUACCAUA